rnacentral:rRNA from 1 species
AACGAACGCUGGCGGCAGGCUUAACACAUGCAAGUCGAACGCCCCGCAAGGGGAGUGGCAGACGGGUGAGUAACACGUGGGAACGUGCCCUUCGCUUCGGGAUAGCCUCGGGGAAACUGGGAGUAAUACCGAAUACGCCGUAUUGGGAAAGAUUUAUCGGCGAAGGAUCGGCCCGCGUUGGAUUAGCUAGUUGGCGGUGUAAUGGACCACCAAGGCUACGAUCCAUAGCUGGUCUGAGAGGACGACCAGCCACACUGGGACUGAGACACGGCCCAGACUCCUACGGGAGGCAGCAGUGGGGAAUCUUGGACAAUGGGCGCAAGCCUGAUCCAGCCAUGCCGCGUGAGUGAAGAAGGCCUUAGGGUUGUAAACUCUUUCGCCGGUGAAGAUAAUGACGGUAACCGGAGAAGAAGCCCCGGCUAACUUCGUGCCAGCAGCCGCGGUAAU